CAAAUGGCACAUGAUGAAAUGCGCAUUGUUGGAUGUGAAUCACUGUUUGACUUCAUAAAUAAUCAGCUUGAUGCCACAUACAUGUUUAACUUAGAAGGCUUAAUACCAAAAAUCUGUCUUCUUCCUCAAGAGAUGGGAGAUGAGGAAAGAGUACUGAAAUUACGUUGUGCUGGGCUUGAAGCUCUCUCUUCUAUGAUUUGUAGGUGGGGAAGAUAGAGCUAUAAGAUUCAUGCAGAGGCAAGGGCGUGAAGGUUCAAAGGCACCCCCUACUAGAUCAUGGCCAUGAGAAGGGAAUUAUAAAGCAUCCAUUUCCAAUGAAUUAUCUUUUCAAACCCUGGAAACUGGGUAAUUAGGUUUACCGAGUUUUCAAGUUUGGGAUUGUCCAAUAUAUGAUAGUUAAAACGUUUACUGCUAUAUUAGUAGUAAUUCUUGAAGCCUUUAAUGUCUAUUGUGAAGGAGACUUCAAGUGGAAUUGUGGGUUCUUGCGAUUGUUAUUGUUUCUCAAUGAUUAAGGAAGCUAUUGUUGUUAUGUUUUUGUCGAACUAAAAUCGAUGGGGAAGAUGAAUAAGG